GCUCAGACUGUCCAGAGAGAUAUACAGCUCAGUCUGUCCAGAGAGAGAUAUACAGCUCAGUCUGUCUAGAGAGAGAUAUACAGCUCAGUCUGUCUAGAGAGAUAUACAGCUCAGUCUGUCCAGAGAGAUAUACAGCUCAGUCUGUCCAGAGAGAUAUAGCUGUAGAGAGGACACUACAGGAGACAGAACGCUGUAGAGAGGACACUACAGGGGACAGAACUGAACGCUGUAGAGAGGACACUACAGGAGACAGAACGCUGUAGAGAGGACACUACAGGAGACAGAACGCUGUAGAGAGGACACUACAGGAGACAGAACGCUGUAGAGAGGACACUGCAGGAGACAGAACGCUGUAGAGAGGACACUACAGGAGACAGAACGCUGUAGAGAGGACACUACAGGAGACAGAACGCUGUAGAGAGGACACUACAGGAGACAGAACGCUGUAGAGAGGACACUACAGGAGACAGAACGCUGUAGAGAGGACACUACAGGGGACAGAACUGAACGCUGUAGAGAGGACACUACAGGAGACAGAACGCUGUAGAGAGGACACUACAGGAGACAGAACGCUGUAGAGAGGACACUACAGGAGACAGAACGCUGUAGAGAGGACACUACAGGGGACAGAACUGAACGCUGUAGAGAGGACACUACAGGAGACAGAACGCUGUAGAGAGGACACUACAGGAGGCAGAACGCUGUAGAGAGGACACUACAGGAGACAGAACGCUGUAGAGAGGACACUGCAGGAGACAGAACGCUGUAGAGAGGACACUACAGGAGACAGAACGCUGUAGAGAGGACACUACAGGAGACAGAACGCUGUAGAGAGGACACUACAGGAGACAGAACGCUGUAGAGAGGACACUACAGGAGACUGAACGCUGUAGAGAGGACACUACAGGAGACAGAACGCUGUAGAGAGGACACUACAGGAGACAGAACGCUUUAGAGAGGACACUACAGGAGACAGAACGCUGUAGAGAGGACACUACAGGAGACAGAACUGAACGCUGUGGAGAGGACACUACAGGAGACAGAACGCUGUAGAGAGGACACUACAGGAGACAGAACGCUGUGGAGAGGACACUACAGGAGACAGAACGCUGUAGAGAGGACACUACAGGAGACAGAACGCUGUAGAGAGGACACUACAGGAGACAGAACGCUGUAGAGAGGACACUACAGGAGACAGAACGCUGUAGAGAGGACACUACAGGAGACAGAACGCUGUAGAGAGGACACUACAGGAGACAGAACUCUGUAGAGAGGACACUACAGGAGACAGAACGCUGUAGAGAGGACACUACAGGAGACAGAACGCUGUAGAGAGGACACUACAGGAGACAGAACGCUGUAGAGAGGACACUACAGGAGACAGAACGCUGUAGAGAGGACACUACAGGAGACAGAACGCUGUGGAGAGGACACUACAGGGAGACAGAACGCUGUAGAGAGGACACUACAGGAGACAGAACGCUGUGGAGAGGACACUACAGGAGACAGAACGCUGUAGAGAGGACACUAGAGGAGACAGAACUGAACGCUGUAGAGAGGACACUACAGGAAACAGAACUGAACGCUGUAGAGAGGACACUACAGGAAACAGAACGCUGUAGAGAGGACACUACAGGAAACAGAACGCUGUAGAGAGGACACUACAGGAGACAGAACGCUGUAGAGAGGACACUACAGGAGACAGAACGCUGUAGAGAGGACACUACAGGAGACAGAACGCUGUAGAGAGGACACUACAGGAGACAGAACGCUGUAGAGAGGACACUACAGGAGACAGAACGCUGUAGAGAGGACACUACAGGAGACAGAACGCUGUAGAGAGGACACUACAGGAGGCAGAACGCUGUAGAGAGGACACUACAGGAGACAGAACGCUGUAGAGAGGACACUGCAGGAGACAGAACGCUGUAGAGAGGACACUACAGGAGACAGAACGCUGUAGAGAGGACACUACAGGAGACAGAACGCUGUAGAGAGGACACUACAGGAGACAGAACGCUGUAGAGAGGACACUACAGGAGACUGAACGCUGUAGAGAGGACACUACAGGAG
rnacentral:lncRNA from 1 species